rnacentral:rRNA from 1 species
ACGCUGGCGGCAUGCCUUACACAUGCAAGUCGAACGCGAAAGCGGGGCAACCCGCAAGUAGAGUGGCGAACGGGUGAGUAAUACAUCGGAACGUAUCCAGUAGCGGGGGAUAACCUGUCGAAAGAUAGGCUAAUACCGCAUACGAUCUACGGAUGAAAGCGGGGGAUCGCAAGACCUCGCACUAUUGGAGCGGCCGAUGUCGGAUUAGCUAGUUGGUGAGGUAAAAGCUCACCAAGGCGACGAUCCGUAGCUGGUCUGAGAGGACGAUCAGCCACACUGGAACUGAGACACGGUCCAGACUCCUACGGGAGGCAGCAGUGGGGAAUUUUGGACAAUGGGCGAAAGCCUGAUCCAGCCAUGCCGCGUGAGUGAAGAAGGCCUUCGGGUUGUAAAGCUCUUUCGGCGGGGACGAAACGGUUAGGGUUAAUAACCCUGACUACUGACGGUACCCGCAUAAGAAGCACCGGCUAACUACGUGCCAGCAGCCGCGGUAAUACGUAGGGUGCAGGCGUUAAUCGGAAUUACUGGGCGUAAAGCGUGCGCAGGCGGUUUGUUAAGACAGAUGUGAAAUCCCCGAGCUUAACUUGGGAAUUGCGUUUGUAACUGGCAAGCUAGAGUGUAGCAGAGGGGGGUAGAAUUCCACGUGUAGCAGUGAAAUGCGUAGAUAUGUGGAGGAAUACCGAUGGCGAAGGCAGCCCCCUGGGUUAACACUGACGCUCAUGCACGAAAGCGUGGGGAGCAAACAGGAUUAGAUACCCUGGUAGUCCACGCCCUAAACUAUGUCAACUAGUUGUCGGGGGAGAAAUCCUUUGGUAACGAAGCUAACGCGUGAAGUUGACCGCC